GUUAAUAAAAUGUACAGCGAAUAUCUUAAAAAAGUGGUAAGGCCCAUUGCAAAUCUAGUCGAAAUUUUUCAAAUACACUGAAAGCUCGUUAAUUCGAACUUCAAUAAUUCGAAUUUAUGGAUAAUUCGAACUGUACGAUUUGGUCCGGCCAAGCUCCACAGAAGUCUAUGUAUAAAAAAGUCCGUUAAUUCGAACGCGAGAAGGUUCCCUCACGGAUAAUUCGAACUACGCUCGCCUGGCACACGGCCAGAGAAACGCGCCUACUGCCUACACACAAGGCUGUAUUGCCUCCGAAACGGAGAGAACGGUGAGAGAAGGCAAAAUCGGAAAAAAAUCUAACCGACGCGGGGUCAGCCAGAAGGUAGCGGCGGCUGCCGCCUCUCCGUUCUACGUAACCUCCGAGACUUCUCGCCCGUUGCGAAUCUCGGAGUCUUUGCAAAUCUUGUACAGCUGCAAAUAUGCGGAGAUGGCACGGAUGGAUGGAUGGAUGAAAAACUUUAUUAGGGUCAUUUAGGGCGCGCCCUAGCGCGCAGCGGGCCGCUCCCACGUCGGGACAGAGAGGCCGAGCCUCUCCGCUGCGUCGCGGGCCCGUUGGACAGCCCAUAACUGUUCUUCGAGGUUGGGGCUGUGUAGGACAGCAUCCCAGCGUGAAGAAGUGUUACUUUCAUCACUGCGUAACGCGGGGCAUCGCCAGAGCAUGUGAGGUGCUCGUAGCUAUCGUCAAACACGAGCAGCUGUCAUUACGAAUAACUCCGGCUGUCAAUACGCCAGUGCAAUGUGCGCUGGUGCCCCUCAUCAAUGAAACCGGCACGUGGUCACCUUGUACGCCAUCUGGUGCCUAUGCCAUAGGAAUCGUCUGUGCAACCUCAUCUGUGUCAGCGCCACCAUGCGACAUCUGGAUGCUGGAUUCCCUGUGGAAGGUCCCAUCGGCACUGAGACGAGGGCUCCCGCCAAGUAUAAAGCAACCGCAAUUGUCGACACCACUCUGUGGGCUUGGUUGCCGUACCACAAUGCACACAACUAACCUGUUAGUCUUCGCCACGCAGAUUGAAGAUGUCCAGCUGCCCAGAUAGCAUUAUAUAGUGACCAGGCACAAAGCACCGGCAUGUGGUCAUGGAAGCUCUCAACUAUGCAAAGGUGAAAGGACGGCUUC